AACGAACGCUGGCGGCAUGCCUAACACAUGCAAGUCGAACGAGACCUUCGGGUCUAGUGGCGCACGGGUGCGUAACGCGUGGGAACCUGCCCUUAGGUUCGGAAUAACUCCCCGAAAGGGGUGCUAAUACCGGAUAAUGUCUUCGGUCCAAAGAUUUAUCGCCUUUGGAUGGGCCCGCGUUGGAUUAGCUAGUUGGUAGGGUAAAAGCCUACCAAGGCGACGUUCCAUAGCUGGUCUGAGAGGAUGAUCAGCCACACUGGGACUGAGACACGGCCCAGACUCCUACGGGAGGCAGGAGUGGAGAAUAUUGGACAAUGGGCGAAAGCCUGAUCCAGCAAUGCCGCGUGAGUGAUGAAGGCCUUAGGGUUGUAAAGCUCUUUUACCCGGGAUGAUAAUGACAGUACCGGGAGAAUAAGCACCGGCUAACUCCGUG
rnacentral:rRNA from 1 species